rnacentral:rRNA from 1 species
AUUGAACGCUGGCGGCAGGCCUAACACAUGCAAGUCGAGCGGAUGAAGGGAGCUUGCUCCUGGAUUCAGCGGCGGACGGGUGAGUAAGGCCUAGGAAUCUGCCUGGCAGUGGGGGAUAACGUCCGUAAACGGGCGCUAAUACCGCAUACGUUCUGAUGGAGAAAGUGGGGGAUCUUCGGUCCUCACGCUAUCAGAUGAGCCUAGGUCGGAUUAGCUAGUUGGUGGGGUAAAGGCCUACCAAGGCGACGAUCCGUAACUGGUCUGAGAGGAUGAUCAGUCACACUGGAACUGAGACACGGUCCAGACUCCUACGGGAGGCCGCAGUGGGGAAUAUUGGACAAUGGGCGAAAGCCUGAUCCAGCCAUGCCGCGUGUGUGAAGAAGGUCUUCGGAUUGUAAAGCACUUUAAGUUGGGAGGAAGGGCAGUAAGUUAAUACCUUGCUGUUUUGACGUUACCAACAGAAUAAGCACCGGCUAACUUCGUG